UACGGGGGGGGCGAGCGUUGUUCGGAAUUACUGGGCGUAAAGGGUUUGUAGGUGGCCUGCUAAGUCAGACGUGAAAUCCCUCAGCUUAACUGGGGAACUGCGUCUGAUACUGGCGGGCUUGAGGACAGGAGAGGAACGCGGAAUUCCAGGUGUAGCGGUGAAAUGCGUAGAUAUCUGGAGGAACACCGGUGGCGAAGGCGGCGUUCUGGACUGUUUCUGACACUGAAAAACGAAAGCCAGGGGAGCAAACGGGAUUAGAUACCCCGGUAGUCCUGGCCCUAAACGAUGAAUGCUUGGUGUGAUGGGUAUCGAUCCCUGUCGUGCCGUAGUUAACGCGUUAAGCAUUCCGCCUGGGGAGUACGGUCGCAAGGCUGAA
rnacentral:rRNA from 1 species